rnacentral:rRNA from 1 species
AGGGAUCAUUACCGAGUUUACAACUCCCAAACCCAAUGUGAACGUUACCAAACUGUUGCCUCGGCGGGAUCUCUGCCCCGGGUGCGUCGCAGCCCCGGACCAAGGCGCCCGCCGGAGGACCAACCAAAACUCUUUUUGUAUACCCCCUCGCGGGUUUUUUAUAAUCUGAGCCUUCUCGGCGCCUCUCGUAGGCGUUUCGAAAAUGAAUCAAAACUUUCAACAACGGAUCUCUUGGUUCUGGCAUCGAUGAAGAACGCAGCGAAAUGCGAUAAGUAAUGUGAAUUGCAGAAUUCAGUGAAUCAUCGAAUCUUUGAACGCACAUUGCGCCCGCCAGUAUUCUGGCGGGCAUGCCUGUCCGAGCGUCAUUUCAACCCUCGAACCCCUCCGGGGGGUCGGCGUUGGGGAUCGGCCCUGCCUUUGGCGGUGGCCGUCUCCGAAAUACAGUGGCGGUCUCGCCGCAGCCUCUCCUGCGCAGUAGUUUGCACACUCGCAUCGGGAGCGCGGCGCGUCCACAGCCGUUAAACACCCAACUUCUGAAAUGUUGACCUCGGAUCAGGUAGGAAUACCCGCUGAACU